CCCCCCAAACCCCAUAAAAUCGACCCAAAACCCCGCAGGGGCCCUGGCUGAGCCUGAAAUCUGCUAUGUGCUGGAUGCCGAGCUCUUCCUCUACAGCCUCAUCCUCACCGGCCUCUACGUCUGCCUCAGGUUCAUGACGCAGCGAUUGUGGAGAGCGGCUGAGCAGAAGGAGGAAGAGGCCGUUUAUGCCGUGAGUCAC